rnacentral:rRNA from 1 species
AGACAGCAGUAGCCGCGGUAAUACGUAGGGUGCAAGCGUUAAUCGGAAUUACUGGGCGUAAAGCGUGCGCAGGCGGUUCGUUAAGACAGAUGUGAAAUCCCCGGGCUUAACCUGGGAACUGCAUUUGUGACUGGCGAGCUAGAGUAUGGCAGAGGGGGGUAGAAUUCCACGUGUAGCAGUGAAAUGCGUAGAGAUGUGGAGGAAUACCGAUGGCGAAGGCAGCCCCCUGGGCCAAUACUGACGCUCAUGCACGAAAGCGUGGGGAGCAAACAGGAUUAGAUACCCCAGUAGUCCCUGUCUCUUAUAC